ACAUAAGGUUAUGUCUCAUGUAUUGGAGUCACUGCAGGCGAACAUCCAUGUUCACUGGGGCUGAGUACUGUCAAGAUUGGAAAAUGAGUUAAUAGGUUAUCCACCUUAUCUUCCACAUGUCUUACCAAGUGACCACAAUUAUUUACGUUUUGAUCAUUACGGUAUCUAUGUUUAGGAAAAUCAAAUCACCAAAAUAUUUCCAUUUUUAGUUAUAUUAUAAGAUUUAAGAUUUGAAGUGUCUUGUUCAAACCUUUAAUAUAUAUCAACUUAUACCAAAUAAAAUAGUUCAUAGUUAUAAUCAUAAUAAGUACGAUCUCUAGAACCUUGAUUUGGUUUGUCGCCGGUUAAUGUUUAAAUAAUUUUUAUUUAUUUGCAAGUAUUAAUCUAUAGAAGGUUGAAUAAUUUGUGAGGAAAGCAUACCAUUCCUUGAAAGACGUAUAACAAUCGAAUAUAUAACUUAUGAGGAAAGCGCCAACAAUUUGCAAGUAUUAAUCUAUAGAAGGUCAUAAGUCGUCGGUACUACGCGGAGUGUUUCCCCUCUCAAAGUAAUAUAUAACUGUAGCAACAUAAAGAAUAAAAACCAUCCAAGACGAAGGCCGAGCAAGAAGCAAGAAAUAAGGAAAACAUAAACCUGGUUUUCGGUGGUGAGUUAUAUGAUGGGCGACUUCCCAGAAAGCAAUAUCUUUCAUUAUAACCAAUAUUUUGAUGAAGACCUUGCAGAAAUACCAUUGCUCCGAAGGGACACAAGUAGACUUCGUUUAAUUCAUAACACUCCUUUU
rnacentral:lncRNA from 1 species